CCUACGGGAGGCAGCAGUGGGGAAUAUUGGGCAAUGGGCGAAACCCUGAAGCAGCAACGCCGCGUGAAGGAUGAAGGUUUUCGGAUUGUAAACUCCUUUUGUGAGAGAAGAUAAUGACGGUAUCUAACGAAUAAGCACCGGCUAAAUCCGUGCCAGAAGCCGCGGUAAUACGGAGGGGGCAAGCGUUACUCGGAAUCACUGGGCGUAAAGAGCGCGUAGGCGGGAUAGCAAGUCAGAUGUGAAAUCCUAUGGCUUAACCAUAGAACUGCAUUUGAAACUGUUAUUCUAGAGUAUGGGAGAGGUAGGUGGAAUUCUUGGUGUAGGGGUGAAAUGCGUAGAGAUCAAGAGGAAUACUCAUUGCGAAGGCGACCUGCUAGAACAUAACUGACGCUGAUGCGCGAAAGCGUGGGGAGCAAACAGGAUUAGAUAUCCGAGUAGUC
rnacentral:rRNA from 1 species